rnacentral:tRNA from 1 species
UACUAAUUUGUCAGAUUUAAUUGUAUCAAUUUUAGAAAUUGAAUAAGAAUGGGGAUUUCAAUUAGUAU